AAACCUGCCCCUGACUUCAUAACUUCUUGUACAUUCCAUAAUUCAAAAUGUACUCCAUCUGACUUCAAAAGUCUCCACAUUCUUAACAGCUUCGGCAUUGUUAAAAAGUACAAAAUCUCAAGUAUCUUCUGAAACUUAAGGAAAUCUUUUAUCUGUAAGCCCUUGUAAAAUUAGAAAACAAAACAAUUUAUAUACUUCCAGUAUACACUGGCACAGAUUAAACAUCAUUCCAAAACGGAGAAGUGAGGACAUAGCAAAGAAAGAAAAUAUCAACUCAAGACUGACACCAAAUCUUCUAGCUCCAUGUCUAGCAUCAAGGACUAAUGGUAUCAUCAUUUGAGAUUCAACAAGCAUGGAGCUCUGUUGCCAGCAGCACACAUAGUUUCUUUCUUUUCCUACCUUGUCUUAGUGCCUACAACUUUUCUAGGCAGACUUUCCCCAUUCCUGGCAUCGCCAACAUCCUGUAGUCUGCAUGGUGACUUAGACUUCACAGUCGUCGCGUUGUAUAUAGCACACUCAGAAGCUCCAUGAUUCUGCCAGACAUUGUCUGAUCUCAGUGGAUUUCUGAAACUUUGAUGCAAGCCUCCAUGACCUCAUAUCACUCCUAUUCAUAUCACUUCUAUUUUGCAUGCCUGUAGCAUCAGUACCACUUAGAUGACAGCAAGUUCUGCUGCCAUCUUCAGAUAUAGCCUGCCCUCUUUGGACCACACUUAAAACUGUUGUGUGUUUUUAAAACUGAAUCUUGGAAAAUAACUUCCCAAGGUGGCUCUUCAGCUCUCCUCUGUCAGUUAAGCCCCGUGUCCAAAAGAUUCUAUAAUCUCCCAAAAUAUCCCUGCCAGGAAGAGUCUAAAUGUUCAAACACAUAAGCCUGUUGUGGUUAGUUCACAUUUACAGUGUAACAGUUGUAUCUUCCUCUUCAAAUGCCUACACAUAAAUCUAAAACAUUUCCUUCCUUUUUCUUGUCCCUUUCUUAGUAAAUCCUAGUUCUGCUUCAGAUGGAUUCAUCCUGAAAUUCUGUUCUGUUGUGUAAGUCAAGAUCCUGGCCAUACUCGAGUGUCACCUGGAAAAUGAAAAUUGACCUUUUGGAUGACAACUUGGAAGAAUAUAAUCCAAAACUGAUGAAAAUUCCAUUCCUUUCAGCAUUCUGAGUUUAACAAGGCAAAAAGAAAAGUUAUAUAUUUUAAGGAGACAUAAUUUUUAAUUAAAAUUUGUAUUAUCUGAAUUAUUAACUGAGGGUCAAGAGUUCAGUUGUAGAACAUUGACCUAGCAUGAGCAAGACCUUCAGUUUGAUCCCCACCACUGGAAACCAUUUUUCCUGACCCAUAAUAAUUGUACAUGUUUAUGAAUGCAUUAUGAUCAUUUGAUGCUCAUAUACAAUAUAUAAUGAUUAAAUAAGGAUAAUUAGCAUUUGAACCCCCUUAAGCAUUUACCAUGUUUUUAGUUCUUCUAGUUCCUUAAAAAAAUCCAUAGUAAACUGUUCUCAAAUUACUGGAUGAUGAAACACUGGAAUUUAAUCCUCUGGUUUUAUUAUGGUACCUGAUGCUUGACCCUAAAGAGGUCUGUCUCUCUUUCUCUCUCUCUCUUUCAUUGUGUUUAUUCCAUACUUACUGUUUAAACAUAAAUGUGUUAUAUACAUGGGCACAUGUUCAGUGGUACAUUUUAAAGGUCAGAAGAUAACUUUGUGGGAUUGGUUCUCUUCUUCCACCUUUUAUUGGUUUCAGGGAUUGAGCUCAGGUCAUCUGGUUUAUGCAUCAAAUGUCUUUACCUGCAGAGUCAUUUCACUUGCUAUCCCCUUAAAGAGCUAUUCUUAAAAGGGUUAAGGAGUUGUGGUAAAUGAUCUCAAAACUGCCUUACAGUUUGUGGUGGAUUGAAUAAAAUGCCCCCCAUAGGUCUUGGGCAUUUGAAUACUUUAAUCUCCAGUUGGUGGCUAUUAAGGAAAGAUUAGGAGAGGUAUGUCAGUGGGGGUCAGCCUUGAGGUUCCAAACUACUUGUGCCAUUCCCAGUGUGCUCCCUGCCUCAUGUUUAUGGUUUGAGAUGUGAGUUCUCAGCUGUUCCUGCCACUAUGCCUUCAAUCCACCAUCAUGGGAUCUAAGCCUAUGGAACCAUAAGCCCAAUUUUUAUAGCUUGCCUUGAUCAUAGUGUUUUUAUCACAACAAUAGAAAAGUGACCAAGAUACAGUUUUAAGACCAAGUCUUCAGUCACAGUGCUUGUGGAGGCACUUCUUGGAUCGUAUGUUAAUGGUAAAAUGAGAUACUUCUUCUGCUGUGUCAGUGAGAAAAUAUAUCAUAUACACCAAGUAGCUAUAUGGGGCUGUAUGGGACUGGGCACAUGGUAAGUACUGAAGUAACCUGGCAGUUUUGAAACUGUGGGUUCUCUGCCUUGAGUGCAUGGAAGAAGAAUCAAUUUUGUCUACGUCAAUCCCUUCGUUAAGUUGUUUGGUAGUACUGUAUUGCACACAUAUACUGUUUAUGUAAUGGUUUUUAAAUUGAUGAGAACGAUUUCUGACUGUUUUAUGUUUUACUAAAGCUGUGAUGAGCAAUUGUGUAUGCUUUGAAUGGGUGUUUAUGGUCAUUAUCAUGGAUAAGACUCUAAUAGCAGAAUCUCUAGGUUAUGGCCAUGAUUGUACCUCUGGGAGCAGCAGCUGUCAAAGUGGUUUCCACUGUGAAUAUGCCAUAUUUUGUCGCUUUGAGCAGGACAUGGUAGCGCCAUUUGUGUUGCAUUGGCAACUUGAAUGAUCAGAUGGUCACAAUUUUAGACAUUCUACCAGAACUAUAGUAGAAUCACAUUGUAAUUUUAAUUUGCAUUUCUAUGAUGACAAAUGCUUUUUAGCAACUUUCAUUUCAUACCUGCUCUUUAAGCAUUUGCAUGACAUUGUACUCAAAAUGUUAGCCUUUAGUCAUGGAGUUAUCUGGCAGUAAAAGUUUCAGAAUGACAAUUGCACUGCCAAUAUUUUACAUUGGUAGAGAUGUCUGAAAUUUCCAGUGCCCUUAGAAUGGGUAUGAUACACACAGUUUCAAACAUUCAGUAGGUUCAAUAAACAUUGACCCAACUAUGAAAUCCUAAUGAAGUGCUCCAAGGAAACAGUCACCAUAAUGAAGGGUCAGAAGGGUUGCACAGGAGGUGAUGUAUGUAAUUUUAC